AGCUGCUCUGUUUACACUUGCUGGUUACUGGAAGAUCGGAAGACGGGACAAAAUCCAGAAGGCAAGCGGGCGGCCAGCGUGGUGACUGUCGCCUGUGAGCCCGCGCUUUGGGAGGCUGAAGCAGGAGGUUCUCCUGAGCCUCUCAGCUGUGGUGUAAAGUCGGCUGCCUGCAUGGACCUGAGUUACGAUUUGGUGACUUGGCGGUGGUUUCCCUUGGUUCCAACUUCCCACUUGCUUCUCUGUCCAUUACUGGCUGGCCAACUCCUCUAGUGCCCCCUCCUCCAGGCAGCCUUCUCAGCCCAGCCCAUCUGCUCCAUCUGAGCUGCCCCAGUCCCCAGCCUGAGUCCUCAAGCAGAACCAGCACCCCUACCUCAGCUGAUGAUCCCCUGCACAGUCUGUACUAUGGCUCCCCACAAGGGCUGAUGCCGUAUAUGCCCAGCUGGGUCAUCUCACUGAAUUCUCCCCUGGAUCCUAUGAGGGAGGGAAUAGUUUAUAGAUGGAGAAACAGAAACUCAGAGAGGUUCAGUAACUUGCCGAAGGUCACAGCCAGUGAGGUCAAAGUGGGAUUAGGAUUUCACCUUGUUGACCAAGAUGGUCUCGAUCUCUUGACCUCGUGAUCCACCCGCCUCGGCCUCCCAAAGUGCUGGGAUUAUAGGCGUGAGCCACCGCACCCGGCCCAAGACCCCAUCUCUUAAUUCAUUAAGAAUUAAAGCCAGUAAACUGGCUUCAGAGAACCAAUGGUGGAUCUGAAGAAAGGUGGGAACAGGCAGGAAGGAUGCUCACGGGGGAGGCUGCUCUGUCCACGCCCCUGGCAGGGACCACGUCACUGCGGUCCCUGCCUCUAUGACCAGCCCAGUCUCCUGCCCUACUAUGCUCUGUGACCCUGUCAGCCCCUGCCCCUCUCCUGACCUCAGCCCACUUCCUCUUCGGGUUCUGCAGAACUCAGGGGCAGGGCACUGAAGGAGGCGAUGCUGCCUCUGCUGUGCCCUGGGAGCAGACUCCAAGGAUGGCCCCCCGAGCUGCGUCAUGUUCUGUGAAUAAAAGGCCUGGGCCUCCUUUGAAGCCCCCUCUAGGCCCAGUGGUUCAUGUGUAA